rnacentral:rRNA from 1 species
GCGGAAACGACACUAACAAUCCUUCGGGUGCGUUAAUGGGCGUCGAGCGGCGGACGGGUGAGUAAUGCCUAGGGAACUGCCCAGUCGAGGGGGAUAACAGUUGGAAACGACUGCUAAUACCGCAUACGCCCUACGGGGGAAAAGAGGGGACCUUCGGGCCUUCUGCGAUUGGAUGAACCUAGGUGGGAUUUGCUAGUUGGUGAGGUAAUGGCUCACCAAGGCGACGAUCCCUAGCUGGUCUGAGAGGAUGAUC